CCUACGGGUGACAGCAGUGAGGAAUAUUGGUCAAUGGGCGCAAGUCUGAACCAGCCAUGCCGCGUGCAGGAAGACGGCUCUAUGUGUUGUAAACUGCUUUUGUACGAGGGUAAACGCAGAUACGCGUAUCUGUCUGAAAGUAUCGUACGAAUAAGGAUCGGCUAACUCCGUGCCAGCAGCCGCGGUAAUACGGAGGGUGCAAGCGUUGUCCGGAAUCAUUGGGCGUAAAGAGUUCGUAGGCGGCAUGUAAAGUCAGGUGUUAAAGGCGCAGGCUCAACCUGUGUAUGGCACUUGAUACUUGCAAGCUGGAAUGCGGUAGAGGUAAAGGGAAUUCCUGGUGUAGCGGUGAAAUGCUUAGAUAUCAGGAGGAACAUCGGUGGCGUAAGCGCUUUACUGGGCCGUAAUUGACGCUGAGGAACGAAAGCCAGGGUAGCAAAUGGGAUUAGAUACCCGGGUAGUC
rnacentral:rRNA from 1 species